rnacentral:rRNA from 1 species
GACGAACGCUGGCGGCGUGCUUAACACAUGCAAGUCGAACGGAAAGGCCCUGCUUUUGUGGGGUGCUCGAGUGGCGAACGGGUGAGUAACACGUGAGUAACCUGCCCUUGAUUUUGGGAUAACUUCAGGAAACUGGGGCUAAUACCGGAUAGGAGCUCCUGCUGCAUGGUGGGGGUUGGAAAGUUUCGGCGGUUGGGGAUGGACUCGCGGCUUAUCAGCUUGUUGAUGGGGUAGUGGCUUACCAAGGCUUUGACGGGUAGCCGGCCUGAGAGGGUGACCGGCCACAUUGGGACUGAGAUACGGCCCAGACUCCUACGGGAGGCAGCAGUGGGGAAUAUUGCACAAUGGGCGGAAGCCUGAUGCAGCAACGCCGCGUGCGGGAUGACGGCCUUCGGGUUGUAAACCGCUUUCGCCUGUGACGAAGCGUGAGUGACGGUAAUGGGUAAAGAAGCACCGGCUAACUACGUG